AUAUCUCUCUGUACGGGAAGGAUGAGAAGCUUCGACUAAGGUUCGAUUCGAGCGCAGCGAGAAAGCGUUGCCGCAGGCAACGACCCGAAGGGCGA
rnacentral:sRNA from 3 species